AUAAGUCUCGAUUUUCAACGUGAUUUCAACGGUUUACGGUGCGAAUCACGGCGAUGAUGAGGGAAUUGAUAGCGGCUCGAUACGAGGUCUGUGGAUGCUUGCGGCGCUGAAAGGUGCAGAAACCCUAGGGUUCCUGACCUAGGGUUAAGCAUUUGGGCCUUCGGGAUGCAGCUUAUUGGGUCUUAGUAGUAGGCUUUUAGAAAUGGGUCUGUAAUGUAACGGGUUGCGUCUACUGGGUAGUGUUGGUAUUUGGGUUUGAUUUAGGCUAAUGGGGUAUUGGGUGUUGGGCCACGAGUGUAAUGGGUUUAUGGGGUAUAAUUUGCCUUUUGGGCUUUAUUUCUUUUGUAACAUGGACUAUACAAAUUGGACAUUUUUUUUUUUUUGGUUUUCUGUUUGGUUUAUUAAGCCCGGGCGAAUUUGGGCUAUUAUAAUAUUUUUAUGUAUAUUAUGUAUAUA